AUACCUCAAUAAUGUAUCCAAGGAAGACUGAUGUCUCUCGGGUGCUCGAUUGACAGCAUUACUUCGUAAUUUAUUAAGCUCGCCGAUGCGGUCUUUAAGCUCAUCAUAAAUAUCUGUCGAAAACGUUGCUUUUAUAAAUUUUUCCAAAGGUUUUCUAAAAUCAACUUCGCUAUUAGAAGAACGUUUUAAAGGAACACAAAGCCAAUUUACCGCCGCCAUAUUUUUGCACGAACUUUUGUAAAUAAUUACGUAAACUUCAGAAAUAAACAAAACGAACGCUGCAGAAUGCAAAGUCACGAAAUGUCCACGCAACUCCCACGCAGAAAUUUCACCCUCCUGAACGUGUGAAUAUCAUCAAUUUUAAGACAAAAUUUUGUCUUUAUCGUAG